AGGAAAUUCUGUCCAAUGCAGAAUAAGAGGGGGAAGUUGUCGUUUUGGGGGCUGCCAGUUCGCUGAAACACAGGUUGGGAAAUGUUUCAGUUUCGUACCCUGUUGCAGCAGGACAUGGUACUGAUGCCCUGAAUUCUGUGAGCAGGAUGUCCCCCUCGCUUUUUGCUCCUGGAAACAGUUCCUGACAUCCUGUUCCAUGGGCCUACAAUUGUUUGGCCAGUGGCUGCUUUUCCCUGCUCAAAUAAAGGCAUGCUGUUUGGCAUUGCAGCUGGUG